AUUUGAUGGUGUGGGCAGCUUGCACAAAGCUUCUUGAAACGCUCCCAAUAUUCAUACAAAGACUCUCCAUUGUUUUGCCGUAUACCACAUAUUUCCUUUCUAAUGUU
rfam:Ipomoea nil DNA, scaffold: scaffold1619, cultivar: Tokyo-kokei standard.